GACAGUUUCACCAGUAAUUUCCCUUAUUGCAUUGAAAAGAAAGGUUUGUGCUAAUGUUGUCUGGACAAGUAAAUGCCAAUAUCUUGUACUCUGAGUAAUUAAAGAUAACAAUAUGCAAUGUAUCAACUGUUGUUACCCUUUUAUGAUCUUGUUUUGAAAUUUUGUUUUAUUUUUUCUCUUUAAGAUAAAAAGAAAAAAGAAAAUGAGAAAGAAGAAUCCAACAAAAUCAGUAGCACAGCGUAGCCCACGUCAAACGGCAAAGAAAUGCAUGAAUUCAACAAUAAAUGGUCACUUGGCCUUGGCAGUGGCCUGGCACUGGCUGGUGGAAGAGGACACUCGAGCUGCUGUGCUGUGGGGGGAGGCUGACCUGCAUCCUGGAGUGGAGCCGGCGCUGCUGUGCAGAAGGUGGCUCGCUGCACCUCGGAUCCCCGCUGUAGAUGCCGGCAGCCGGAUGCCUGUCCAGUCUCCUCCGGAUCUGUGGGCCAUUGGCUCCAGGACCCCCCAUGGACACAAAAUCUGCAGAUGCUCAAGUCCCUUCUCUGAAAUGGUAUGGGGUUUGCAUAUAACCUAUUUAUGCCUUCCCAUGUAUGUUAAAUAUGGCUUAUGAUUCAUAAUGCAGUGUAGAAGCUGUGGAAACGGUUGUUAUAUUGUUUAGGGAAUAAUGAUGAGAAAACCUUAUACGUGCUCAGUAAAGACACAGUUUUCUUUUUUUAGAAUAUCUUCCAUCAGUGGCUGGAAUCUGCAGAUGUAGCACCCGGAGAUAAGAAAGGCCAACAAUCUGCUCGUGUGUGCGCGCGUGCGUGCGUCUGUCUGUGCGUCUGUCUGUGUUACCUACUUGAAAGCAGACUGCAAGCAAUGUGAGAGCAGGACCGUUUCUCACACCUGCUGACAUGUGCCCCAGCGUCACAGGAACCCUGCCAGCCAGGCGCAGUGUGGGCAGGUGCUCGUGAAGUGCUUACUGGAUGAAUGAAUGGCUUCCUCCUCUUUUUACUUCUUCCCCUAGUACUUUAAGCUCAACAUCCCUGUUCCUUCCCCUGCCUUGACUUCUCACAAAACCCUACUCCAUCCCUAAGCCUCUGAAGAUCUCUGCCACACAUGCACACGCAGCACAGCAUGCAGCUGUAGCUUCCCCCAGCUGCAGCGUGGCCCACCGCUGGGAACGGAUGUGUGAGCUGGCUGAUGUGGACACAAGCAGACAGGGUUUUGUGUACACACUGAUCUUGGUGCACAUUCCUACAUGUCACCCCACAGGAUUCCCCAGGAUAUACAAACUUGCCUGAGGCUAUGUUUGAUGAAGAGAGUAAGUUGAAGAAAAGUAGUAAGAAGACAUUGGUCCAAUUACUGUGGUUUUAUGACAAACUUGUAAGGUGGUUGUGUUCCACCCAGUGAGGGCCUCUUAGCCCCAGGCUAGCAUUUGGAAAGGCUAGAGUCUGUUAUGACUGUGGUGGCAGCUGCAGGAGGGCAGGCGUAGGUGCUCAGGGAUGCUUGGCUGAGCUGAAUCCCACUGGGCUGAAUUUACAGUUUCUGUCCCAUAAUUGGCUUCCUCAAAGCAUGAUGGUAUCUGUUCUCUGGAACAGAAGGAAAGCAGGACGAUGGGAAGGAAGAUCCCAGCUCCCAACUGGUCCCAGCAGCUCCCAGCUGUUCCAGAAGACCCCACAGGAGACUGUGGAGCUGCCUUGGUGGCUGGGCCCAUUCUCAGCACAGCAGGCAUGCACUUGGGGGGGGGGGUGCAAUUAAUCAGUGACUCCAGAGCCUCCUCACCAGGAGGGCUAGCUUCACUCCCAAGCACUUGCUGACCCCAGGGAGCAGUGAUGAUUCCUAACGAACGGGUUCCUGAAAGAAAGGAAGAGCUAAACAUAAAAACUGCACAGAGGGAAAGCUUAGCCCACCAGCAUCUGCCAGAAAAGACUGCAGGGUGGGGAUGGCGUGGGUUGAUUCACAGGCUCCUUCCCCUGGGAGGCUCUGAAGGCCUUUGUGUAAGAGGUGAGGGGUGUGGUAGAGGGAGGGGAACAAAGAAAGGAAAAGGGAAAGGCCAGGGUGCUUCCACUUUUCAAGGUAACACAGUUGAAUGAAUCCAACUUUGAAAUUGGCUCUAAUCACUGGUGAUUCAUUCUGAGAAAAAUCACAAAGGGCCUCUUUUUCCCCUACCCCAGUUUCCGCUUUAGGGAUUUCCCAGGCUAAAGGGCAGCCCAGUUUGAGUCACUGGUUUUAAGAAAGGAUAAGGUGAAAGAUCCAUUGUGUCUUUGAGGGCUGUUAACCCCGAGUUUACAAGAAUUCCUUUGAGAAUCAUCUAUCUACACCCAAAUCUGGGUUCUCAUAGGUCCAUCUGCUAUGGGGCUCCUCCUCCAGUUUUUGCAUCCUGUCUUCCAAGUCUGUAUGGUCAGAAGCUCUCCUGAGAAGAAGGGACAUGCUGAAAUCAUAACCACUUCUGUCUUCUCCCUGUGACUGGGUAUAAUAACCAUCAGCUGUCCUCAGUGGGAUAUGGCGCUGUGUCUCUAAUACAUUUCACUGGCGCAUCUGUAUCAUUUCAUUUUUGUUUGACUGAAAAAUUGUAGUUACCAUUUUGGAUGCCUUAUAUAGUCUAGGCACUUCCUAUAACCAUCUCUUCUCCCAAGGAGCGGUGAGCUAGGUCGUACCUUCCCACCGCGCUGUUCAGAAUACCAAGGCCUGGCGAGGCGAAGGGCCUGCUCCGCCAGCACACAGCCCAGAAUGGCAGAACCAGGAUAGGAGGAGGCUUCCUCUGCUCCAAAUGAUGCUCUUCAUUCUCUUUAUUACCUUUCGAAACUCUGUACAGAAAGCACUGACAAAAGCAAACGGAAGUAGGGUUUAAUGUAACAGUCAAGUAAAUCAGGACUUUUCACAAGAACCUGUAACCGACGACAUAUCUCUUGCUGUGAAGUAACUGAACAAACUCACAUUUUAAUUCAGGUAAGCCAACCACGCACCCCGCGUGCACCUCCGUGUCCCCUGCUUACCUCCCGUCAGGUACCUUCCGUGCACCCCGUGCACAAUAUUCAUUCUGUCGUUUUGGAAAUAGGUGGGGAGAGGGGCCCCUUACAGGUCAUGCUUGCUUGCUUGACUUGUUUAUUUAUUUAUUUGCUAUUUAACCUCACCACUUGGGCACAUUAAGCACACAGUGCUCAGCAGUUACUCUCUCCCAUGAGGAUCUGAGGUUUUGAAAAAAGUUAAUCAUGAUGGUGGAUUCUCUCUCGGUACUUCCCGUUCCAGGAGUGCUUCUCUCUCAGUACAGGAAGCGAUUGAACGAGCACAGUCAGUACAGACCAGGGAGAAGAGCGGAGUUGACAUCUCCAGAAAGGGGCAGACUAGAGGGAACAGGGGAGGACUGGUCUCUCGUGGCCUGGGGCGUGGUGGCUGCCGUACCUGGAACUCAUCAGACGCCUGCCAGCCUGCUGCUUUUGUGGUCUGAGUAUUCUUUUCAGGGCUUAAUAAAAACCCAUAGGGUAUCAUCUUCGCAGAAACAACCUCCUUAUUCAAGGACUGUCUGAAAUUGAUUGCUCAAUUUAUCCACGAUAAAAAAAGUACAAGGGCUUCAUGUUUCUUAAUUACGGAAGAGGAGAAUAACUCCGAGUUCCAGGAGUGGAGUGUGACCCACACUGACGUGUCCCAGUCACGUUCGUCCUGACUGUCCUCUUGGAGAGGGUUCUCUCCACCGUGCCGCUCCACAUGUCCUGCUGGCCCCACCCGCCCUGUGGCCGCAUACCAGGGCUAAUGACCACCCUCUGGUGAUGUUGUCCAGACCAGUUCAGGCCGCUCUCGCACUGCUACAUUUUUCAGCUGCUGGGAGGACCAGGCUGGCUUAUAAAGAUGAAGACUCCAGUCUCCUUUAAGAUGGCAUCACCACCCUGUGGUCUUCGGGGAGCCUCCGCACGCCUUGGACACCCCCCUUCUCCCAGUAGGACAGUGAGGCUGUGGCUUGGAGUGGCAUGAAGUCCCGUAGGAGGAGUUGUCUUGUUUGCACUCCUGAGUCCAGGUGGUGGACACAAAACAUGCAGGUGAAAAUCACUGGCUUGAUGUCACAAGCCCAGUUCCGCAAAAAGUGGCCAGGCUGGCACCUGACGGACGGCAAGGCUGUCAGAAGAGUGCUUUGGUGGUCACUGAAGAUUCAUUUUGAGGGUAAUGCAUAAAACUGGAAGCCAAGCACCUCCCAUAUAAGGUGCAGUAGGUGGCAGGCUGGAGAGGCAGAGGGGAAGGGACGCGAAGGGCUGCAGGGAGAAUUGUGCAGAGUCACGGGCUGUGUCUGGCCCAAGAAGUGAAACUGGCUUGCUGCGGGUAAAGGAGUAUGAGUACUUCAGCCUGUUGGUUGGAUCCCAGCAUGAGCACGUGCCUAUAAUUGCAGCACUCUGGGAGGCUGAGGCAGGAGUAGGAUUGUAAAUUUGGCCACCCUGUCUCAAAAGAAAUAAAAUAAUAAGUAACUAACUAAAUAAAUAAAUAACAAAGAGGGUGGGGAUGUAAUUCAGUCCAGAGGUCCUAAUCUUAAGCCUUGGUGCAACCAAAAAGAUAAAAUAAAAAUAAAGUACUGGUUCACACUGACACUAACACAGAGGGCCUGAAGGAAAAACUUAUAUUUUUCUUUGCCCCAGGGUUUUCAUUUCUUGAUAGUGCAAAUGAAACACCCAUCUCACAGGGUGGUGGAAAUGACAUAAUCUAGGGCAAGGCUGAGGCACACGACACUGGAGCUGGAGAACUCCUUGCUGGGGUCGGAAGGGCUGCAGUCUGGUGACUCUAGGACGCCGGGCAGCAUCCCUGGUCUCUGCCGCACUCGCCUCACCUUCAGAAGUGACCCUGGAUGUGCCUAAUGUCCCCUGGGAAGCGGCAGCUGCUCCAGCCCUCAGAAGCGGUACAGCAAGCACCGAGGAGACCUUGUUAUCACCAGUCACCCUUUCUGCUCUUCUGCUCCGUGAUCUCUUUUCUUCCUUCCCUUCCACGUACCCCACGUCCUCUCUUCCUUCACUGUAUAUCCGUCCGCAGCCACCGCAGCUAAGCCUCCUCUGCUGGGCACAUGGCAAACCUUCUGUGCGGGCUGCUUGGGAUGCUGAGGCAGGAGGAUCACUUACACCCAGGAGGUUGAGGCCAGUCUAGCAGCAUAACAAGACUCCUGUCUCAAAACAACAACAACAACAACUAAAAAGCCCCAAAGCACCUCUGAGAAGGGAAUCUGAGAAAUGCAUUCAUAUGGAGAGUGUUUUCACUGCGUUCUGGGCCCACCACCCUGCGUCCGGGGCACCGCCUCUGACGGGCUCAGUAUGGCACAGGCUGGUGUCUUAGAGAAGUCUCCUCCUUACCCUCUCCGAAGGCAGUCUGUACAAUAACCAG
ensembl:lincRNA